UACGAAGGGGGCUAGCGUUGUUCGGAAUUACUGGGCGUAAAGCGUGCGCAGGCGGUCUUCCAAGUCAGUGGUGAAAGCCCGGAGCUCAACUCCGGAACUGCCAUUGAAACUGUGAGGCUUGAGGACGAGAGAGGUGAGUGGAAUUCCCAGUGUAGAGGUGAAAUUCGUAGAUAUUGGGAAGAACACCGGUGGCGAAGGCGGCUCACUGGCUCGUUUCUGACGCUCAUGCACGACAGCGUGGGGAUCAAACAGG
rnacentral:rRNA from 1 species